rnacentral:rRNA from 1 species
UGGGGAAUAUUGCGCAAUGGGGGGAACCCUGACGCAGCAACGCCGCGUGAAGGAAGAAGGCUUUCGGGUCGUAAACUUUUGUCUGGAGGGACGAAUAGAUGACGGUACCUCCGGAGGAAGCCACGGCUAACUACGUGCCAGCAGCCGCGGUAAUACGUAGGUGGCAAGCGUUGUCCGGAAUUACUGGGUGUAAAGGGCGCGUAGACGGGCAUGUAAGUCAGAUGUGAAAUACCGGGGCUCAACUCCGGGGCUGCAUUUGAAACUGCAAGUCUUGAGUGCAGGAGAGGGAAGCGGAAUUCCUAGUGUAGCGGUGAAAUGCGUAGAUAUUAGGAGGAACACCAGUGGCGAAGGCGGCUUUCUGGACUGUAACUGACGUUGAGGCGCGAAAGCGUGGGUAGCAAACAGG